rnacentral:rRNA from 1 species
UACGUACCGGACGAACGUUAUUCGGAAUCACUGGGCUUAAAGAGUGCGUAGGCGGCCUUGCAGGUGAGGUGUGAAAUCCCACGGCCCAACCGUGGAAUUGCGCUUCAAACCGCUAGGCUUGAGGGAGACAGGGGUGAGCGGAACUGAUGGUGGAGCGGUGAAAUGCGUUGAUAUCAUCAGGAACACCUGUGGCGAAGGCGGCUCACUGGGUCUCUUCUGACGCUGAGGCACGAAAGCUAGGGGAGCGAACGGGAUUAGAUACCCCCGUAGUCC